rnacentral:rRNA from 1 species
UACAGAGGUGCCAAGCGUUAGGCGGAAUCACUGGGCUUAAAGCGUGUGUAGGCGGAUCGUUAAGUACCUUGUGAAAUCCCACGGCUUAACCGUGGAACGGCUGGGUAUACUGGCGAUCUUGAGCCACCUAGGGGCGAGCGGAACAAAUGGUGGAGCGGUGAAAUGCGUAGAUAUCAUUUGGAACGCCAACGGUGAAACAGCUCGCUGGGGUGUACUGACGCUGAGACACGAAAGCCAGGGAGCGAACGGG